rnacentral:tRNA from 1 species
UGGUGCGGGUGAAGGGACUUGAACCCCCACGCCUCGCGGCGCCAGAACCUAAAUCUGGUGCGUCUACCAAUUUCGCCACACCCGC